rnacentral:rRNA from 1 species
UACGUAGGGUCCGAGCGUUGUCCGGAAUUACUGGGCGUAAAGAGCUCGUAGGCGGUUUGUCGCGUCGGGAGUGAAAACUCAGGGCUUAACCCUGAGCCUGCUUCCGAUACGGGCAGACUAGAGGUAUGCAGGGGAGAACGGAAUUCCUGGUGUAGCGGUGAAAUGCGCAGAUAUCAGGAGGAACACCGGUGGCGAAGGCGGGUCUCUGGGCCGAUACUGACGCUGAGGAGCGAAAGCCAGGGGAGCGAACGGG